GGAGACAAAAGAGGGACGAAAGAUACCAAAGGGACAGUCAAACUCAUAAAUCUAAAACAAACUGACAACGCCAUGGCUAAAAAUGAAAAAGACAAACAGAAAAACAAUAGUACACAUGACACAACAUAGAAAACUAAAGAAUAAACAACACGAACCCCACCAAAAACUAGGGGUGAUCUCAGGUGCUCCGGAAGGGUAAGCAGAUCCUGCUCCACAUGUGGCACCCGUCGUGUUGCUUAUGUGGUUACAAAUCCGGUAAAUAGUCUAAUUCGGUAGGUCACAGUCAUGCAAGGGAAGGGGAUUGUAGUUACGACGUAAGGAACAUAUCCGAUAUCAUUUGUGAAACGGUUAUUCCAUAACGGUCAACCAACUCGUGAUGGCGUCCGA
rnacentral:lncRNA from 1 species